CAUUCCAAAGCACGGUUUGGAGACCUUAAAAAAACCAUACGAAGAGAUCCCGGGAAUCAGACCAGAUGGCUUCCCGGGAAGAAAUCAUACGGAGAAGGACGGCUUGGUAAAUGGGAGUAAACGGGGCACCGGACAGAGACCCGGGCGCGGAGGAAGAGGUGUAGCAGGAGGCAGCUACUUCCAUAACCACACGUGGUUCGGCGUCCCCCGGUGGGACAGCAGCCGCGGAGGCCCUUCGCGCCCUGGACGGCGGCGUUGCCUUCCCGCACGCAGGGCCUCCGCGCCCUCCCUCCAGCGCGCUCGGCGCGGGCGGGGGCAACGGAGAAAAAACAAACUGAGGGAUGAAGGCGUUUGAAGCCCCGGAAAGUGACCAAGAAAGCUAACCUGCCCAGGUCCGGGUCCUCCCGGGCCCUCUCAUACCUCAAAGGCGUUAAUUA